rnacentral:lncRNA from 15 species
AAGUAGCCACGGUGAAACGCAUGGCAGCCGAGGGCUGUUUUGUCUUUUUCUUCCACACAAUGAUCAGGGGAGAGCGCGAACGCAGUCCCCCACUACCAGAAAUUACGCAGUCGAGAUUCCCACAUUUGGGGAAUUCGCUCAAUGGUCAAGUCUACGGUGCAAAUGUCUACGGUCACCAUAGACAGUCCCGCCUUCUGGUUGGUCAAUUCUCACCGUAGACUACCAAUCGGAUUGCACAAUCUGACCGUAGACUACCAAUCAUAUCGUCUCCCGGCGUCAUGUGACUGUCUACGCUCGGUUAGUUUAUGCAGAUUAGUAUUUUCCUCCGGAGAGCAUACAGUACAGAGGGGUAUUGCACAAAACCAGGAUAAGGGAUUAACCCGGGAUAUGUUGGUUAUCCUGGCUGGAUUUAGCCUCAAGUCGGUUGCAUGAAAGCAGGUUAAACUUAUCCCGGCCAAGUUACUAUGGUGAUUUAUUCUCUGCAGUUAGCCUGCUCCAGACCAGACUAACAGCCAGGCUAACAUUAAUCCAGGUGAUUCACCUGUAUUUCCACCGUCAGUCCUGUGAGGAAUUAAUGUGUUUUAAAGCAUGUCCAAGGUCUUUCUAAGUAUGUUGCAUCAUUUUAAUUAUCCUGCAUUAAAACAUUACAUAUAUAUUACAUUUCUUAUUUCAUUUAAAUCUGUUGGCUGUUUGUAAUUGCAACAGUCUUUUUAUAUUGAUUCAAGUGGAAGUAUUAUUACUCAGGACAAGUGUUAUAUUGCCAUGCUAAUGAAGACUGCUUGUCAAACUGCAUAAAUAUGUGUUUAUUGCAGUAAUUGAGAUUACAAAACACAGCUGAUGAAGUUGCAAAGCUGUUUUCAAUGAAAUCUGUGACAAGGGAAAUAUAGUAUAUAUAUUAUGGCAUACCGUUUAAGAAAUUAAUCUUUGAAUAUAUAAAAUUAAUCUUUGAAUAUAUAAAAUGAAUCUUUGAAUAUACGGAAUGAAACUUGACCUGUCAUCAAAGCACUGCUGCCAUCUUGUAGAAGUGAGAAUGAGUCAGUCAGGAACCUUGUGGCAGCAAUACUGAUCAAUGAGGACAUUAUUAACUCAUUGGUAAGUGCUUGUAGGGGCCAAAAUCCUCUCGAUAGUACCCGUGCCCAAUACCGUUCUCCUGACGAAGAAGUUCACUCCCUUUUUAAUGGUGGCAGGCCGACUACAACAGGCCUCAGGCUAAAUCCUGACAGAAAAAACAAAAAAUUUUUCCAGUUCAAGAAAGUAUUGUAAUAUUUCAACUGAUGCCAUUUUGUAAAAGCAGCUAAUUCAGAAGAAUCACUUUGAUGAAAAGGAUACAACUAGGUUUGGAUUUCAUUCAGUAUUCUCACAUUUUUAUCAGUAUAUCCAAGAUUCAUUCCAUAUAUCCAAAGUUUCAUUUCCUAAACGGCAUGUCAUAAUAUAUAUAUAUAUUAUUC